rnacentral:tRNA from 1 species
GCGCCCAUAGCUCAGCUGGAUAGAGCAACAGACUACGAAUCUGUAGGCCGGGGGUUCGAC